UAAAACACAUUGAAGAGAAGAGUACGUUUUUAUAAAACUUAUAGAGAGCCCUGUCUGGUGGAAAUGGGUAGUCACAUGAAAGCGGAAGAUGGUCUUGGAGUGGAAUAAUCGAACGGCUUCGGCUUUUAAAUUAUUACGGUUGCGCCCGAUACAGCGCCACAGUUUAAUGGAAUCAAUUUUCCACGAACUGUUUAAGGUAGAAUUAGUGAUGAUUCUAUAAAAAAAGGUGGUAACACGAAGCAUUUAACAGCUCUCGUCCUUUUA
rfam:Carnobacterium maltaromaticum LMA28 complete genome